GAUGAACGCUGGCGGCGUGCCUAAUACAUGCAAGUCGAGCGAACAGAUGAGGAGCUUGCUCCUCUGACGUUAGCGGCGGACGGGUGAGUAACACGUGGAUAACCUACCUAUAAGACUGGGAUAACUUCGGGAAACCGGAGCUAAUACCGGAUAAUAUAUUGAACCGCAUGGUUCAAUAGUGAAAGACGGUUUUGCUGUCACUUAUAGAUGGAUCCGCGUCGCAUUAGCUUGUUGGUAAGGUAACGGCUUACCAAGGCAACGAUGCGUAGCCGACCUGAAAGGGUGAUCGGCCACACUGGAACUGAGGCACAGACCAGACUCCUGCGGGAGGCAGAAGUAGGGAAUCUUCCGCAAUGGGCGAAAGCCGGACGGAGCAACGCCGCGUGAGUGAUGAAGGUCUUCGGAUCGUAAAACUCUGUUAUUAGGGAAGAACAAAUGUGUAAGUAACUAUGCACGUCUUGACGGUACCUAAUCAGAAAGCCACGGCUAACUACGUG
rnacentral:rRNA from 1 species